CCUACGGGUGGCAGCAGUGGGGAAUAUUGGGCAAUGGAGGAAACUCUGACCCAGCAACGCCGCGUGAAGGAUGAAGGUUUUCUGAUUGUAAACUUCUGUUUCGACGGAUGAAGAAUCACGGUACCUCGUGAGGAAGCCCCGGCAAACUACGUGCCAGCAGCCUCGGUAAUACGUAGGGGGCAAGCGUUGUCCGGAAUUACUGGGCGUAAAGGGAGUGUAGGCGGCCUUUUAAGUUAUAUGUGAAAGCCCCCGGCUUAACUGAGGAACUGCAUAUGAAACUGGACGGCUAGAGUGCAGUAGAGGUAAGCGGAAUUUAUAGUGUAGCGGUGGAAUGCGUAGAUAUCAGGAAGAACACCGGAGGCGAAGGCGGCUUACUGAACUGUUACUGACGCUGAGGCUCGAAAGCGUGGGGAGCAAACAGGAUUAGAUACCCGAGUAGUC
rnacentral:rRNA from 1 species